rnacentral:lncRNA from 1 species
GGCAAGUAUGGACACAACAUUCAAGCUGGAUACAGCUCUGAAUUUGGAUUGUGAUUAAAUAUUUGACACCGCAUAGGUUUCUGACACAGAAUGAAUGUGGUCUAAUGAACUUAAUUUUUUUUUUUGGCUUUUGAGCAAUUCACUAUGCUGUUGAAUAUUUAUCCUCUCAAAAAAAAUAUAUUUGAAGAAAUUUUCUUUUUAAUUUCUG